rnacentral:lncRNA from 1 species
UCUAACCUCAGCUUUGUCUUUUGUGGGAGCAAGCCCCAUCUGAAGCAACUCCUUAUGAUAUAAAAUACCCUCUUCUCUCCUCUGGACGUCCUAAAACAGUUAGAAAACCGGAGAAAAGUUCAGAGAAAGAGUGAAAGAAGAGAGAAAAAUCUGUUAGAAAAAUAAGUUGAAAAAUUCAGAAAAAAAUAAGGGAAGAGAAGUGAGCUUGGACGACCCUUUCUCACCAUCUUGUGACUUUAAUCAGUGAGUAUUUGUGUGGUAAAGAGUUGGAGAUUUGGUGUCCUGAUGUUGAGAAUCACCCAUAUUCUUCAGCCUUUGAUUUUAAUCGGUAAAUAUGUAAGUUGUUGUGUGGAUCAGCUUUGUUCUGAUUGAGUCCGGCCUUUUAUUGAUGUGGUACUGAUCAGGUUUGGCGUGGCUUCAUCUUAAGGUGGAGUAUCAGUUGAGUUCAGACAGUGUUUGAUUUGAACUGGUAAAUUGUUUUGCCUUUUGAUCCAGAUCAGUUUAGAUUGUAACCAGCUGGCUGAGUUGUUGUUCUUCCUCUCUGGAUUAAUUUCUUAAUCCCUUGUGUGGAUUUAUAUUAGUUCAUUUCCUGGUCUCCUAGCAUCUAGACAACUUAACUGGAACGAUUUAUGUUUGAACCGAACUGAAGCUGCCUUGAACUUGCCUUUGUAACUGUCCUGAAUCUUGAGCUGUGGGGUUGAACCGGACUGAUUAACCUUUUUUCCAACCGUUCUGUUAUUGGUACAGAUGGUCAAGGAUACUGUUCGGAUCAGCCGGAUUUUUGUGGGGAUUGUAAAUCGAGAAUAUUCCAGAAGUCGAGUGUGAUUAGCUUGAGCUCGAGUAUAGUCUUCCUUAGCCAAUCUCAUGGAUUUAAAGGUGAGUCUAGAU